rnacentral:rRNA from 1 species
AUUGAACGCUGGCGGCAGGCCUAACACAUGCAAGUCGAGCGGUAGCACAGAGAGCUUGCUCUCGGGUGACGAGCGGCGGACGGGUGAGUAAUGUCUGGGAAACUGCCUGAUGGAGGGGGAUAACUACUGGAAACGGUAGCUAAUACCGCAUAAUGUCGCAAGACCAAAGUGGGGGACCUUCGGGCCUCAUGCCAUCAGAUGUGCCCAGAUGGGAUUAGCUAGUAGGUGGGGUAACGGCUCACCUAGGCGACGAUCCCUAGCUGGUCUGAGAGGAUGACCAGCCACACUGGAACUGAGACACGGUCCAGACUCCUACGGGAGGCAGCAGUGGGGAAUAUUGCACAAUGGGCGCAAGCCUGAUGCAGCCAUGCCGCGUGUGUGAAGAAGGCCUUCGGGUUGUAAAGCACUUUCAGCGGGGAGGAAGGCGUUAAGGUUAAUAACCUUGGCGAUUGACGUUACCCGCAGAAGAAGCACCGGCUAACUCCGUGCCAGCAGCCGCGGUAAUACGGAGGGUGCAAGCGUUAAUCGGAAUUACUGGGCGUAAAGCGCACGCAGGCGGUCUGUCAAGUCGGAUGUGAAAUCCCCGGGCUCAACCUGGGAACUGCAUUCGAAACUGGCAGGCUAGAGUCUUGUAGAGGGGGGGUAGAAUUCCAGGUGUAGCGGUGAAAUGCGUAGAGAUCUGGAGGAAUACCGGUGGCGAAGGCGGCCCCCUGGACAAAGACUGACGCUCAGGUGCGAAAGCGUGGGGAGCAAACAGGAUUAGAUACCCUGGUAGUCCACGCCGUAAACGAUGUCGAUUUGGAGGUUGUGCCCUUGAGGCGUGGCUUCCGGAGCUAACGCGUUAAAUCGACCGCCUGGGGAGUACGGCCGCAAGGUUAAAACUCAAAUGAAUUGACGGGGGCCCGCACAAGCGGUGGAGCAUGUGGUUUAAUUCGAUGCAACGCGAAGAACCUUACCUGGUCUUGACAUCCACAGAACUUUCCAGAGAUGGAUUGGUGCCUUCGGGAACUGUGAGACAGGUGCUGCAUGGCUGUCGUCAGCUCGUGUUGUGAAAUGUUGGGUUAAGUCCCGCAACGAGCGCAACCCUUAUCCUUUGUUGCCAGCGGUUAGGCCGGGAACUCAAAGGAGACUGCCAGUGAUAAACUGGAGGAAGGUGGGGAUGACGUCAAGUCAUCAUGGCCCUUACGACCAGGGCUACACACGUGCUACAAUGGCAUAUACAAAGAGAAGCGACCUCGCGAGAGCAAGCGGACCUCAUAAAGUAUGUCGUAGUCCGGAUUGGAGUCUGCAACUCGACUCCAUGAAGUCGGAAUCGCUAGUAAUCGUAGAUCAGAAUGCUACGGUGAAUACGUUCCCGGGCCUUGUACACACCGCCCGUCACACCAUGGGAGUGGGUUGCAAAAGAAGUAGGUAGCUUAACCUUCGGGAGGGCGCUUACCACUUUGUGAUUCAUGACUGGGGUGA